rnacentral:lncRNA from 1 species
AACAUUUCUCGAUUUAAGCAGUUUAUUACAAAAAUAGCGUAAACACAUAGGAAGGGGAAACUAUUCCAUUAUCUCAUCUUAUACACCACCAGCACUUUAGUGUACCGACCUUGACUGUGUGUGCGUCUGUGUAAAUGAGUGUUUGUGUGCAUGUGUGUGCAUGUGAAUUUGCUUGGGUGUGUGAGACUGUUUGCUGAGUGACUGCCCAGGACCAUGGAGAGGGACCGAGGCAUCUCCGUGUCCUGUGGAGCCUGCAUCGUGGUGGCGAAGCUGACCCGGAUCAAAGAUGCCCAGAGCCGUGGAGGAGGGAUGGUGCUGUGGGGGCCCUGUCUAAGGAGGUUGGGGAGGCUCCACACAGACAGAGGGAGGAGGAAGGGGUGGUGCCUGGCUCCCGGCCUCCCCCACAGGACCCAGCUCCUUCCCAAAUGGCCUCCCUCUCCCACCAGCCUUCUGGUCCCCUGCUCUCUAAGUUCUGGGGAGGUCCGGGAGAUACCCAGGUUCCCCCUGAACCCUCCGUGGGGUUCACAUUUGGAGAACACUCCCACCCAGGGAAGCUCCUCACAGGCUCUCCUCCCCAUCCCGUCUCCUCCCCUGGGGAGGGGCCACGGCAGAAACUCCAUGGAAACUCGAAGCCUGGCUUGUUGUCCUCCCUGCCUUUCUCAACAAAACUUCGAGGUAUAAACUGUGUCUAGAACAUAACAACCGUGAACUGGAGCCUCGCACUUUCUCCCCUCUGCCCUCCUCAGCCUCAUUCUUACCUCCUGUGACUGUGCUGACCCCCAAGGCACCCUGUCCCCACCUCCUUAGGCCCCGUUUUCUGCCUGACCGGAGCCCUCCUUUACUGUCCCCAGCACUGUGUGUGGCACUGCCAGCCCGGCUGUUACUGCCCCCCGGGCCAGGUGCUGAGUGCCGACCAGGCCAUCUGCGUACAGCCUGGCCAUUGCAGCUGCCUGGACCUGCUGACUGGGGAGUGGCACCGGCCGGGCACUCAGCUGGCGAGGCCAGACGGCUGCAACUACUGCACCUGCUCGGAGGGGAGGCUGACCUGCACAGACCUGCCUUGCCCAGUGCCUGGAGGCUGGUGCCCGUGGUCGGAGUGGACAGCGUGCACCCAGCCCUGCAGGAGCCAGAUGAGGACCCGCUCCAGGGCCUGCACCUGCCCUCCUCCUCAGCACGGGGGAGCCCCGUGCCCCGGGGAGGCCGGGGAGGCAGGGGCCCAGCAUCAGCGGGAGACCUGCCCCAGCCCCACUGCGUGCCCAGUGGACGGAGCCUGGAGCCCAUGGGGACCGUGGUCUCCCUGUGACACGUGCCUGGGGCAGUCCCAUCGGAGCCGGG